UACAGAGGUCUCGAGCGUUAGGCGGAAUCACUGGGCUUAAAGCGUGUGUAGGCGGAUUGCUAAGUACCUUGUGAAAUCCCACGGCUUAACCGUGGAACUGCUUGGUAUACUGGCUGUCUUGAGCCACUUAGGGGCAACCGGAACAAACGGUGGAGCGGUGAAAUGCGUAGAUAUCGUUUGGAACGCCAAUGGUGAAAACAGCUCGCUGGGAGUGUGCUGACGCUGAGACACGAAAGCCAGGGGAGCGAACGGG
rnacentral:rRNA from 1 species